rnacentral:rRNA from 1 species
GACGAACGCUGGCGGCGUGCUUAACACAUGCAAGUCGAGCGGUAAGGCCCUUUCGGGGGUACACGAGCGGCGAACGGGUGAGUAACACGUGGGUGACCUGCCCUCAGCUCUGGGAUAAGCCUGGGAAACCGGGUCUAAUACCGGAUAUGACUCCAUGACGCAUGUUGUGGGGUGGAAAGCCUUGUGCGGCUGAGGAUGGGCCCGCGGCCUAUCAGCUUGUUGGUGGGGUGAUGGCCUACCAAGGCGACGACGGGUAGCCGGCCUGAGAGGGCGACCGGCCACACUGGGACUGAGACACGGCCCAGACUCCUACGGGAGGCAGCAGUGGGGAAUCUUGCGCAAUGGGCGAAAGCCUGACGCAGCGACGCCGCGUGAGGGAUGACGGCCUCGGUUGUAACGU